rnacentral:rRNA from 1 species
AAUAGAUACCCCGGUAGUCCACGCCGUAAACGAUGAGUGCUAAGUGUUGGGGGGGUUUCCGCCCCUCAGUGCUGCAGCUAACGCAUUAAGCACUCCGCCUGGGGAGUACGGUCGCAAGACUGAAACUCAAAGGAAUUGACGGGGGCCCGCACAAGCGGUGGAGCAUGUGGUUUAAUUCGAAGCAACGCGAAGAACCUUACCAGGUCUUGACAUCCCGGUGACCACUAUGGAGACAUAGUUUCCCCUUGGGGGCAACGGUGACAGGUGGUGCAUGGUUGUCGUCAGCUCGUGUCGUGAGAUGUUGGGUUAAGUCCCGCAACGAGCGCAACCCUUAUUCUUAGUUGCCAUCAUUCAGUUGGGCACUCUAAGGGAGACUGCCGGUGAUAAACCGGAGGAAGUGGGGAUGACGUCAAAUCAUCAUGCCCCUUAUGACCUGGGCUACACACGUGCUACAAUGGACGGUACAAACGGUUGCCAACCCGCGAGGGGGGANCUAAUCCGAUAAAACCGUUCUCAGUUCGGAUUGUAGGCUGCAACUGCCUACA